UCGAAGGUAGCAUAAUCAGUAGUUUUUUAAUUGAAAGCUGGUAUGAAUGGUUGGAUGAAAUAUUAGCUGUUUCAUUUAAAAUUAUUAUAGAAUUUUAUUUUUUAGUUAAAAAGCUAAAAUUUUAUUAAAAGACGAGAAGACCCUAUAAAUCUUUAUAUAUUAUUUAUAUUAAUUAUAAAGAUUUUUUUGAUUAUUAUAUUUUAAUAUCUUUUAUUGGGGUGAUAUUAAAAUUUAAAAAACUUUUAAUUUAUGUAAUACAUAAAUUAAUGAAUAUAUGAUCCAUUAUUAAUGAUUAAAAAUUUAAGUUACUUUAGGGAUAACAGCGUAAUUUUUUUGGAGAGUUCAUAUCGAUAAAAAAGAUUGCGACCUCGAUGUUGGAUUAA
rnacentral:rRNA from 1 species